rnacentral:lncRNA from 1 species
CCUCUUCCCUAGUGUGGAAGGUUUUUUUUUUUUUGCAAUAAAUCUUGCUGCUGCUCACUGUUUGGGUCCACACUGCCUUUAAGAGGUGUAACACUCACUGGGAAGGUCUACAGCUUCACCCCUGAAACCAGCGAGACCACGAACCAACCAGAAGGAAGAAACUCUGAACACAUCCGAACAUCAGAAGGAGCAAACUCGGGACACGCUGCCUUUAAGAACUGUAACACUCACCGGGAGGGUCCGCGGCUUCAUUCUUGAAGUCAGUGAGACCAAGAACCCACCAAUUCCGGACACAGUAGUAUGUAGUGUUCUUAUUUCAUAUUUUCCCUAUUGAGAUUCACGUGUCUAAUAAUAACUUCAUGAUAUAUCUAGAGGUGUAAGCCAGAAGGAUAAAAGUUUACAGCGGUGAGAACUGGGUAAGGCCUGGCAUCUAUCAGAGAAGAAAGCCAUAGGUGGGAAACUAUGCACAAGCCUUCAUGAGUUGGAGUUGCUUGGGCUGCACAAUCUAAACCUUCGUCUCUGCUUAGGUAACUUAAUCCUUUUGAUAACAGCAAUGCAAGUUGCCAUGUCUACCUGACUCCAAAACAUGUUAUGUUUCUACUGUGCUAAACUGUACUUUCUGUAAAUAAAACAGCCUUGAAAUAAUCUUUAAA